rnacentral:lncRNA from 1 species
AGAUGCUCCCAGGCUCUCCCGCAGUUUAAAGACUUAACUCAGCGGCUUUCAGGGCCUGUGGUUGAGGGACUCCGAAAGAACUGUUGCUGGUGGACCGGUUCAGGGUCUUGACUUCGCCACACAAAAGAACUUGAGAGCACGUCCAAAGUAAAGCUAAGACCUCUAGUACAGUGUUCAAUGGAACUGGUGAGAAAAGACGUCCUUGCUGUGUUCCUGAUAUGAAGAGGAAAGCAGUCCUUCUCCAUUAAAUGCUGACAACAUGAGCCUCCCGUGGUCGGAACGGGCUUGUGAAGGCGGUGCUGGGGUGCACCAGGGCAGCAGCUACAGGCUCUGGGACUAUGGAAAGGACAAAU